rnacentral:rRNA from 1 species
AUUGAACGCUGGCGGCAGGCUUAACACAUGCAAGUCGAGCGGAGAUGAGGUGCUUGCACCUUAUCUUAGCGGCGGACGGGUGAGUAAUGCUUAGGAAUCUGCCUAUUAGUGGGGGACAACAUUCCGAAAGGAAUGCUAAUACCGCAUACGUCCUACGGGAGAAAGCAGGGGAUCUUCGGACCUUGCGCUAAUAGAUGAGCCUAAGUCGGAUUAGCUAGUUGGUGGGGUAAAGGCCUACCAAGGCGACGAUCUGUAGCGGGUCUGAGAGGAUGAUCCGCGACACUGGGACUGGGACACGGCCCAGACUCCUAGGGGAGGCAGCGGUGGGGAAUGUUGGACAAUGGGGGGAACCCUGAUCCAGCCAUGCCGCGUGUGUGAAGAAGGCCUUAUGGUUGUAAAGCACUUUAAGCGAGGAGGAGGCUACUGAGACUAAUACUCUUGGAUAGUGGACGUUACUCGCAGAAUAAGCACCGGCUAACUCUGUGCCAGCCGCCGCAGUAA